rnacentral:rRNA from 1 species
GUGAGGAAUAUUGGUCAAUGGACGAGAGUCUGAACCAGCCAAGUAGCGUGAAGGAUGACUGCCCUAUGGGUUGUAAACUUCUUUUAUACGGGAAUAAAGUGAGCCACGUGUGGCUUUUUGUAUGUACCGUAUGAAUAAGGAUCGGCUAACUCCGUGCCAGCAGCCGCGGUAAUACGGAGGAUCCGAGCGUUAUCCGGAUUUAUUGGGUUUAAAGGGAGCGUAGGCGGGUUGUUAAGUCAGUUGUGAAAGUUUGCGGCUCAACCGUAAAAUUGCAGUUGAUACUGGCGACCUUGAGUGCAACAGAGGUAGGCGGAAUUCGUGGUGUAGCGGUGAAAUGCUUAGAUAUCACGAAGAACUCCGAUUGCGAAGGCAGCUUACUGGAUUGUAACUGACGCUGAUGCUCGAAAGUGUGGGUAUCAAACAGG